rnacentral:rRNA from 1 species
GACGAACGCUGGCGGCGUGCCUAAUACAUGCAAGUCGAACGGUAAAGCGCGGCGCUUGCUCGUUGUUCGUGUGGCGCACACGUGUGAGUCACGCGUGGAUCCCCUCCUUGACAUCGGGAGAACACUAGGAAACUCGGGAUCAUAUACCACAUAACAUCCUGUUUCGCGGGAGGGGUGGGUAAGAUUCGGCGGUACGGGAUGGACACGCGGCUCAUCAGCUUGUUGGUGGGGUAGUGGGUUACCAAGGCUUUGACGGGUCGCCGACAUUGGGGGGUGAACGGGCACAAUGGGACUGCGGGACGGCCCAGACUGCUACGGGAGGCAGCAGUGGGGAACAUUGCCCAACGGGCGGACGCCAGUUGCAGCAGCGCCGCGUGCGUGAUGACGGGCUUUGGGUUGUGAACCGGUUUCGCCUGGGACGAAGCGUGAGUGGCGGUAAUGUGUACAGAAGCACCGGCUAACUACGGG